GUGCUUGCUUCAGCAGCGCAGAUAUCAAAAUUGGAAUGAUACAGAGAUUAGCAUGGCCCCUGUACAAGGAUGACACACAAAUUCAUGAAGCCUUCCAUAUUAAA